rnacentral:rRNA from 1 species
UCACUCCUACGGGGAGGCAGCAGUGGGGGAAUAUUGCACAAUGGGCGCAAGCCUGAUGCAGCCAUGCCGCGUGUGUGAAGAAGGCCUUCGGGUUGUAAAGCACUUUCAGUCGUGAGGAAGGUGGUGUAGUUAAUAGCUGCAUCAUUUGACGUUAGCGACAGAAGAAAGCACCGGCUAACUCCGUGCCAGCAGCCGCGGUAAUACGGAGGGUGCGAGCGUUAAUCGGAAUUACUGGGCGUAAAGCGCAUGCAGGUGGUUUGUUAAGUCAGAUGUGAAAGACCCGGGGCUCAACCUCGGAAUUGCAUUUGAAACUGGCAGACUAGAGUACUGUAGAGGGGGGUAGGAAUUUCAGGUGUAGCGGUGAAAUGCGUAGAGAUCUGAAGGAAUACCGGUGGCGAAGGCGGCCCCCUCGGACAGAUACUGACACUCAGAUGCGAAAGCGUGGGGAGCAAACAGGAUUAGAUACCCUGGUAG